AGCUCACCUCGGAUUGUAAAUGCUAACACGGGUCCUCCGGCCGGCUGAUCCAGAACUUAGGUCGCCGGGACGUGUGGCUUCUGCUUCUCAGACGCUCGGACUCGCGCCGGGAAGGGUUUCGCCUCCCCUGGUCCCCGCUUUUUUUUUUUUUUUCUGCGUCCGGUUAUUGCAAAUGCAUUCAGUCCAGUAGCACUAGCCCAGGAAAUAUAAGCCACCGGCUCACGUUGCUCCUCACAGGUAUGCGGCGCUUCCGCUGGCCUCCAAGGACACGAAGCCCCGGGCCGUCUGGCCCCCCACUCUAGCACUGAAAUUCCUGCCGCCCCGUUCAGCUGACAAAUUUGGCAGCACUAAAUUUUAUUUUAUUCGACAAAUUAAGUACCCAGUUAACACCAGGGAGUAACGGGGUAAGAAAAUUUCAGAAGGCUGGUGGAUAAUAAUAGCAUUUACCUCAUAAAUUUGUUAUGAGGAUGUGAAGCACUUAGAGUAGUGUCUGGCAGUUUGUAGGCGCUCAGUAACUGUUAGCUGUUAUUAUUUUUAUAUUGAUUAUUCCAUAGUCACCACUAUUAUCACCUUAAUGUCAAGCUUGAAAUCCAGUAUCU
rnacentral:lncRNA from 1 species